ensembl:snRNA U5 U5 spliceosomal RNA
UACUCUGGUUUCUCCUCAAAUCGUAUAAAUCUUUCGCCUUUUACUAAAGAUUUCCGUGGAGAAGAAUGACUUCAGAACUUUCAACUAAUUUUUUGAAGCCUUGUGUUGGCAGGGCU